rnacentral:rRNA from 1 species
UAGGAAUCUUCGGCAAUGGACGAAAGUCUGACCGAGCAACGCCGCGUGAGUUAAGAAGGUUUUCGGAUCGUAAAAACCUGUUGGUAGAGAAGAACAAGGACGUUAGUAACUGAACGUCCCCUGACGGUAUCUAACCAGAAAGCCACGGCUAACUACGUUCCAGCAGCCGCGGUAAUACGUAGGUGGCAAGCGUUGUCCGGAUUUAUUGGGCGUAAAGCGAGCGCAGGCGGUUUCUUAAGUCUGAUGUGAAAGCCCCCGGCUCAACCGGGGAGGGUCAUUGGAAACUGGGAGACUUGAGUGCAGAAGAGGAGAGUGGAAUUCCAUGUGUAGCGGUGAAAUGCGUAGAUAUAUGGAGGAACACCAGUGGCGAAGGCGGCUCUCUGGUCUGUAACUGACGCUGAGGCUCGAAAGCGUGGGGAGCAAACAGG